rnacentral:rRNA from 1 species
GACGAACGCUGGCGGCGCGCUUAACACAUGCAAGUCGAGCGAGAUCCAGGCCUUCGGGCCUGGGGACAGCGGCGAACGGGUGAGUAACACGUGGGUAAUCAACCCUCGACACUGGGAUAGCCCGGGGAAACCCGGAUUAAUACCGGAUGGCCCUUUGGAUCUUCGGAUCUGACGGGAAAGGUAGCUUCGGCCUCCGGUCGAGGACGAGCCCGCGGCGGAUUAGCUUGUUGGUGGGGUAACGGCUCACCAAGGCGACGAUCCGUAGCUGGUCUGAGAGGACGAUCAGCCACACUGGGACUGAGACACGGCCCAGACUCCUACGGGAGGCAGCAGUGGGGAAUCUUGCGCUAAUGCGGGCAACCGUGACGCAGCGACGCCGCGUGAGGGAAGAAGGCCUUCGGGUUGUAAACCUCUUUCAGGAGGGACGAAGCCACUCGGGUGAAUAGCCCAGAGGGUGACGGUACCUCCAGAAGAAGCCCCGGCUAACUACGUGCCAGCCGCCGCCGUAAUAC